UUUGAAGUAAAAGUGUCUUACACAGUAAAAAACAUAGUGUCAAUUUUACUCUUUAAGAGUUGAAUUUAACUUUGUGUCAGAUAACAUUUGGUCCCACCCU